ACUUUCUCCUCAACUUACCACUGAGUUCCAUUCCAACUGACUGGUCGUAAGUCGAUCUGGUUGUAUGUCGGAUUUAUAUUUUUCAACACUAUUUUCAUUCAAACGCAGCUGAUACUUGAAAGUGACUGAGUGUGUGACAGUCGCAAG